GGACAUUUUGACCCAUACAUAAGAGUGUUGGUGCCUUAUUGGGGGUUUACCAGUUUGAGUGUAAGGUAAUCUCCAUCUGAACAUAUGACAACAAUGCACAUGUCAUGAUGGCACCACUAUUUGCUGCAAAUGCAGCUGUGAAUCUUUUUAGGUAAGUCUCUUCUCCACUGCAAUUUGUCUACAUAGGCGCUUAGGGUGCACCCUACCAACUCCAGAAUUAUUUGCCAAAAAAGUUAGAAAACUACUUAGCAUAUUUUUAUUACUGUAAAAAUAGUUUGAUAGAAAACAACAUAGUUGCAUCUCUCUUAAAUUGUCCUAUCC